rnacentral:rRNA from 1 species
UACGUAGGGGGCAAGCGUUGUCCGGAAUUAUUGGGCGUAAAGAGCGCGUAGGCGGUCCGAUAAGUCGGCUGUGAAAGUCAGGGGCUCAACCCUUGAAAGCCGGCCGAUACUGUCGGACUAGAGUCCGGAAGAGGCAAGUGGAAUUCCCGGUGUAGCGGUGAAAUGCGCAGAUAUCGGGAGGAACACCGGUGGCGAAGGCGGCCCACUGGUCCGGUACUGACGCUGAGGUGCGAAAGCGUGGGGAGCAAACAGG